GGGCCCCCAACUAACCAAGAAGGUGUAGAGCUACGAACCCUUACUUCCUAUGAUGCAACUCCGAGAUUAAUUCUCGUCUUAAUCAACUAUCAACAAACUGUCCUGAGCCUGAAAAAUGGAUAGGAAGAGGGGUGAGAUUAAAUAAUCCCAGUGAGUAAACAAUUACCAUCAAAAGCAUCUAAAGCCGAGUAGAUGGAGACAAUAUAAAAACGUUAUAUCUCAAUAAUGUUCAUAACACAAAAUUCGUUUCAAUCUAUACCAAACAAUUUCUUUUCAUCAAAAUUUCUCGGCUUAUGAAUUUCUUAAACUUGGCCCCUGCCAAAAUCAUUCUCGCGGGUACCUUCGUCAAGGUAUCCCACUGAGACCGCCAAGGCUGUUCAAUGACCCAUACCCAUAAACAUGUUUUCACAUCUGACACACAGCCGUUCCUUGGCGUUGGCUGAGUCUCACUCUCACGUGGUGGCCCGAACGUGAGGUGCACUCAAAUCAUACCUCAGGAGAUACUUCACCCAACAUCUCCCCCCGGAGGUAAGUAUAUAAUUGAGUUACCGUGCCCCUCUCAUAGGCAGUCCACGGAAACCCCCACCACUGCAGUGACCGUUUAAUAUACCACCAGACCCAUAAAAAUUCCAGUAGCAUAAUAUGGCGAAUAAAAUGUAAUCCAGUCUACCGAGACCAAUCCAAAACUGUUCAUAUAUUUCAUGCCAACCCCAAAAAUUUAGCCAUCAUGCUACCAUAGUGUCAUAAGCCACAAUUUCAAUAACAUAUAAAAUCAUAAAUUUCAACACAGUCUCCAUAUACUCAAUUUUCCCAAAACAAUAUUUGAUUUCAAAACCAGUAUAAAUCUCAUUUUUAUUAAAAAACAUUUUAAUUGGAAAACAUAAUAUUUUAUAAUUUAAACUCACCAUUCAAUAAAAGCAUCAAACAAGUAUAAUUACUCUAGAUAUUUAAGACGAUAAAUUGUCCACUCACAGUUCUAGGAGUCGAUGUACUCCUAAUCCCAGUCUUCAAGCACAAUUUCUGUACUUUUACCAGUGUAAUUUGCUCACCACCUAUCCACAAUGUACAAUAC
rnacentral:lncRNA from 1 species